rnacentral:rRNA from 1 species
UACGGAGGGAGCUAGCGUUGUUCGGAAUUACUGGGCGUAAAGCGCACGUAGGCGGCUAUUCAAGUCAGAGGUGAAAGCCCGGGGCUCAACUCCGGAACUGCCUUUGAAACUAGGUAGCUAGAAUCUUGGAGAGGCGAGUGGAAUUCCGAGUGUAGAGGUGAAAUUCGUAGAUAUUCGGAAGAACACCAGUGGCGAAGGCGACUCGCUGGACAAGUAUUGACGCUGAGGUGCGAAAGCGUGGGGAGCAAACAGG